rnacentral:rRNA from 1 species
GAGUGAACGCUGGCGGUAGGCCUAACACAUGCAAGUCGAACGGCAGCACAGUGGUAGCAAUACCAUGGGUGGCGAGUGGCGGACGGGUGAGGAAUACAUCGGAAUCUACCUUUUCGUGGGGGAUAACGUAGGGAAACUUACGCUAAUACCGCAUACGCCCUUCGGGGGAAAGCCGGGGAUCGCAAGACCUGGCGCGGAUAGAUGAGCCGAUGUCGGAUUAGCUAGUUGGUGAGGUAAUGGCUCACCAAGGCGACGAUCCGUAGCUGGUCUGAGAGGAUGAUCAGCCACACUGGGACUGAGACACGGCCCAGACUCCUACGGGAGCAGCAGUAGGGAAUAUUGGACAAUGGGCGAAAGCCUGAUCCAGCAAUGCCGCGUGAGUGAUGAAGGCCUUAGGGUGUAAGCUCGUUUACCCGAGA